UGGGGAAUAUUGGGCAAUGGGCGAAAGCCUGACCCAGCAACGCCGCGUGAAGGAAGAAGGUUUUCGGAUUGUAAACUUCUUUUAUCAGGGACGAAGAAAGUGACGGUACCUGAUGAAUAAGCCACGGCUAACUACGUGCCAGCAGCCGCGGUAAUACGUAGGUGGCAAGCGUUGUCCGGAUUUACUGGGUGUAAAGGGCGUGCAGCCGGGCAUGCAAGUCAGAUGUGAAAUCUCAGGGCUUAACCCUGAAACUGCAUUUGAAACUGUAUGUCUUGAGUGCCGGAGAGGUAAUCGGAAUUCCUUGUGUAGCGGUGAAAUGCGUAGAUAUAAGGAAGAACACCAGUGGCGAAGGCGGAUUACUGGACGGUAACUGACGGUGAGGCGCGAAAGCGUGGGGAGCGAACAGGAUUAGAUACCCUGGUAGU
rnacentral:rRNA from 1 species